ACUGAAACCCAGAUGGGUCUGAAGGGUCCCAGUGCCUUCCAGAUGGGGAUUUGCAGCAGAAUUUCAGAGUAAACAAACCUGUCACCACAUCUGGAUCCCUUCCAGUUUUGGAUUGGAUGAGGCCUCUGACUUGGGAAUUCAGCAGAAGCCACUGUAUUUUUCUUCUAAACUUUAUUGAAUAUGCUGUCAAUUUGUUUCCAGGAGGUGGCAGAACUGUGGAGAAACCUUGCUGCAGGAUGUUUUGAGAGCAGCCCCCUCCAGUUCAUCUCAGAAAUGGAGUACUCCUACAUGGUGUCCUCUCCCAACAGCAGCAGAAGGAACAAGGAGCAAAUGUUAUUAAAAUUAGUGUGAAACAGCCAGGCCACAAGGCUUAUAAGCCAGUUUACUUCAUCUACAAGAUAAUACAUGAAAAACACCAUCACCUCUAAGGUGAUGUAGUCUCUUUUAUACCACCUCCAGUGCAGGCCAUGGCAGGACAGAGCCCAGAUUCUAAGAACCAUCUGAACAGCAUUUGUAAGUGAGAACCUGCAAAGAAAAUCUCACCCUUGAGCAGCUUUUGUAUUCCUCAGAAUCAUCAUCUCUGCUACCCUCAACUUGAUUUAAUUUGGAUCCAGCAGAGCAUGAUGGAUUUGCUACCAGUAGCUUGGAUGCAGUGUAAAUUAUCUAGAGACAAAUCUUGAAUUGUCCUGUAGAUUAAGACGAGACAUAGCUUAGUGUUAGAAGAGGCAUUAGAUCAGACAUUUGAGGAGCUUCAAGGGCUUCAAACAGGCUUCUUGAGUUCAAGCAAAUCCCCAGUCUGGAGCUCCAGGCAUCUGCAGUGGUCCUGCUGCAUAUUAGCAAGCUUAGCUCAGGUCAUCCGAGUAACACGAGAGUGUAUAAAGGCCAGGAAAGCAGAAAAGCUCUACAGUAGAAUUCCCAGGGAGAUGAAAUAGUGCAACACGAACUCACUUAAGUUGAAUUACAGUUGAAUCUCGAAUCAAGAAAGCUCCAUAUGUCAAAAAAACAUUGAUGACACACUUUGAUUUCUUUCUUGGCGUUUGCAGUAUGUGCUGUGGUGCAGAGGAUUCCAGUUGCCAUAAUUUUCAGUGGAAAGAAUUAUUAUCAUAGGGAACUAAUAUGAUGACAUUUAAUGCUGCAGUUAAAGGGGGAUGUUCAUGAAUUAAUGACAGAGCAGGAUGCAGCCCCAGCAGAACAAGCAGCUGGACCAGCUCCUGGCUGCUUCCCUGUGAUGUGACACAGCAGGGUACAUGCUGCUCUGCUCCUGUCUCAUUGUCAAAGAUCACCUCCUCCAAGCCCAAGAAUGGUCUGCUGUGAUGAGCAGGAAAUCAAGGAAAGGCAGCAGGAAGCCUGCAUGGAUGAACAAGGAGCUCCUGACUAAGCUCAGCCAUAAAGGGAAUGCAUACAAGACACGGGAGGAGAAACAGGUAACCCAGGAGGAAAACAGAGGCACUGGCCAAGCUUGGAGGCAUGGGCCUCGGAAUGCCAGCACCCACCAAGAAUUGAAUCUGAGGAGGGUCAUGAAGGGCAAAGAGAAAUGCUUCCACAAGUACCUCAGCAGGAAAAGGAGGACCAGGGAAAAUGUGAGCUGACUGCUGAAUAUGGCCAGGAUCCCAGUGGCAAAAGGACACAGGAAAAACCUUCUGUACUCAAUUUCCUCUUUGCCUCAGUCUUUACUGGUAAGAUUGGCCUUUGGGAAUCCCAUAUUCCUGAGACACAUUUCCUGGGAAAGUAUGGAGCAGGGAAGAGGAACCCUUGGUGGAAGAGUAUCAGGUUAGGGAGCAUUUAAACAAACUGGACAUACGCAAGCCCAUGCAAUCUGACAUGCUGUACCCACAAGUGCCAAGGGAGCCAGCUGAUACCAUUGCAAGGCCACUGUCCUUUACGUUUGAAAGGCUGGGGUGAUCAGUUUACUGAAGAUUGGAAGAAAGCAAACAUCACUUUCUCUUUGAUAAGGAAGAUCAAGGGAACUACAGGACUCAUCACAAUCCAUGAGAAGAAUACAUCUUUGGACAGCCCAGAGAAUCAGACGAAGCCUGAGGAUGCCUCUAUUUCAUUAUCCUCCCAUUGAGGGAGGAUUGGCUGAGUCUAAUUUAUGAUCAUGGCCCCACCUGUCUGCUGGCUCCUGGCCACUUCCCUGACACCAGUCUCUCUGUGCAGAAACAGGAAUUGUCUGUCUCAAAAGAGAAGGGGCAGAGUCAUCUUUAUGAAGUUGAGAAAAGCAGAAGAUUUCACAAUUUAGCACCACGGUGUUCCACUUACAAGAAUUCUCUUCUGACAUUGCACUGUG